rnacentral:rRNA from 1 species
UACGAAGGGUGCAAACGUUGCUCGGAAUUAUUGGGCGUAAAGCGCACGUAGGCGGCUUAGCAAGUCCCAUGUGAAAGCCCACGGCUUAACCGCGGAAGUGCAUGGGAAACUGCUGAGCUUGAGUACUUAAGAGGAUCGCGGAAUUCCCGGUGUAGAGGUGAAAUUCGUAGAUAUCGGGAGGAACACCGGUGGCGAAGGCGGCGACCUGGGUAGAUACUGACGCUGAGGUGCGAAAGCGUGGGGAGCAAACAGG